AACGAACGUUGGCGGCGUGCUUAACACAUGCAAGUCGAGGGAGAAUCUACUCUUCGGAGUAGAGGAGACCGGCGCACGGGUGAGUAACACGUGGGUACGUGCCCUAGAGACUGGGAUAACUGUCCGAAAGGAUGGCUAAUACCGGAUACGCUCCUUCGGGAGGAAAUGCUUUUGCGCUCUAGGAUCGGCCCGCGUCCCAUUAGGUAGUUGGUAGGGUAAUGGCCUACCAAGCCCGAGAUGGGUAGCUGGUCUGAGAGGAUGAUCAGCCACACUGGGACUGAGACACGGCCCAG
rnacentral:rRNA from 1 species